GACAGCUCCCUUUCGACCCCUAGCCUGGGAGCCCCCAUAUGCUGUGGGUGGGGCCCUAAAAAGACAAGAAAAAAAAGAAUGAAUAUUCUGGAUGGGGAGGCAGGCAUUAGAGGCAUUGGCAAGUAAAAGCAUAAAUACUGUGUAAUCUGGAAGGUGUCAGGUAGUGAAAAAACAACACUAGAGGGAGAGAAAGCUCAGGACAGCAGGAAGGGCCAGGGAGGCUGGUGUGGGCUGGGGGCGGCUGUUGGGGUGAGGAGGCCAGAGCGUCAGCAUUGCUUGCCCCCUGCUAUGAGGGUUCUGAAAAUAGAUUGCCUGAGCGAGUGUAGACAAGAGUUCUUAGCAACUUUUGGUUGACUAUGAAGGAUGGAGGCAAAAAUGGUAAAUGUGAAAACACAGCAGGUAAGGGAACAAAUAUUUAAGUGAAAGGAACCCACAUCCCGGGAGACAGAACAAGGUCCGGCUUUCCCGUGAGACGAGUGUCUGGGAGUCUGGCUUCCGAUCGGGAGCCGGGAGCGCAGGUGCCUUCCUCCCGCUGCACCUCCUGGGCUCCUCCGUGGCACGGGGCUGAUAGGACACCUCUCCAAGGCGCGGCCCUCAAGGAUUGGCCCCCAAGGAUUGGCACUAGUGCUUUUGACUUGGUGGUGAAACGCCUUCGUUUGUAGAAACAGCCGACACUGUCGAGCCGUGUGAUAAAAGUCAAUCGAGCCAAGCCCAGGGGUCGGCGCCACCCUCUCGGGGUCAAAAGUCCUAUGUAUUGUUCCCCCGCGCAGGGUCCCAUUUCCUCGGUCAAAGGUCGCCGCAGUGGUCCCCGCCGCCAGUCUGCGGUGACUAUUUGAAACUCAAGGGAAGGCAGAUGUUUUCUGUGGUCCGGGAGCCGUGUGCGUGAACGAAAUUGAAGUCCCUGCGACGAGACAAACGGAUUGUGUGGCCUGGGUGUGCGUCGGAGACAAACAGCACCCCAGAUUCCCAGAGACGCCCUUCCUUUUUCGGCCCAGUUCCUCUGCCUGGUGUCUCGGGUGACGUGCAGCUGGCAGGUGCUGUCACCUGCCAUUGGCGAUUAUGGGGCUUUUCAGCCCAGAGCGCCCGGGAGAGCUCUUAGCAGGAUAUUGCCAUUCCGAGAUUCCGUGCUCACAUCUCCACUUGAAACCCAACGGAAUCCCAUUAAUUAUCACUUCAGGUAGUAAAUCGGUUUCUCAUAUGUGAAAGGAAUGUGGCGACUCGAGUCUCUCUUUUUGUUGGGGAUCGCCAGAGGGUUCUUACAGGUGGUAUUGAACUCAUAAGAAUAAUUUCAGCACCGCUGCAACAACAAAGCAUGUUGUAAAUGUGUAACCUUGCUUUUCUUAAAAAGCCCCGAAUAACUGGGACGUCGUCUCGGGGGCUUAAGUGUGAGAGCUCUUCCUCCCCCCAGCUCCCUCCAACGUUCAAAGCCCGUAUUCAGUCCCCAGCUUUAAAGUCAAGGCGAGGUGCUGAUGGACUGUGCUGACGUCGUUGUGCUAAUGACAAGACGCUGGGACUUCAUUGUCAGAGGGUCGCUUAUCAUCCCUGUGUAUUUAGUCGGCUCUGCCAAGUCUGAAUUAUACUUUUUAUACAUUGUGGUUAGAGUCAGUCAUUUAAAGUGCUUCAGUGUUGAAACAACAUUUUUUUUACAAGUCUUUUAGCUGUAGUUCAAGAGAAAAAAAAAGUCUUCUACAGCAUCAUUAAACAGGGUUCAAAGUAAGUCCUUGCUGAAAGAUGUGAAGUUUGAGCUCUUAGGAAAUGAAAUCUUUGAUCUCCAAAAUGAUGAGUGAAAAUAUUUUUGUCCACAGGCCCAUUUUUAUCUCGGGGUAAAGAAAGUAAUACAAUUUAAUCUACAUAAUACUUCCCCUUCUGAGGCCUCAACUCGGCCUCUGGCCCUAGGGUCCAGAAGUGUCCCCUGACGUUGGCUGAAGGAAGAAACUGGAGACAGGCUUAUCUGUCAAGGCAUCAGAGCGCGGUGGCUGCAUAUGCAGAAGGGCCUUGUUUACAUGGUGCCACCAUCAUGUUUCAAAGAUGCAACAUUCUCAGGGCUUUUUUUUUUUUUUUUUUUUCGGUGAAAAUAAAAAAUUAAGAUAGAAAUGAAUGACCACGAGUCAUUAGACUGAGCUGUGGAAGCACCAGUCACCCCCACCCCACCCCCAAGCCAUCGUGUGACUGUAAAAAUACAGCCUUUGGGAUAAGAAAGGAAAGUAAAUGCUAGCCUGGUCAGCACACGGGCUGAACAAACUCAAGACUGGCCUGCCAGAAAAAGAAGAGCAAAACCAGAGUGGGGACCAGACGCCCCAGCUGUCCUUCAAGUUCAUGGAUCUGAUCACCAUCUCUGUCUCUUCUUUAAUUUCGUUUGCUUCAGAUGCGUUAUAAAGCCGUAUGUGUUUAUUUACUCGAAGCCAGACCCUAUUCUAGGCGCUGGGCUAUAGUAAUGAACAAAAGCAAGCCAAAUUUUUCUACUUUUUUUGCCUUACGGCUUUAUUUUUGAACUGGUUCGUCCUACAUCACGUCAUAGAGACAUUCUCUAAACCCUUCUAAAUGGUUUUAAGUUUUGCGUUCACAUUGGGGUCAUGAAUUCACCGGGAAUGCAUUUGUGCGUUGUGUCUGAGGUAGGAGUUCAGUCCCCCCCACCAUAUGCUUACUAGGCAUUAGCAUGGCAGACCACGUGCUUUCACUUGAGUCACACAUUGCCGUUCUGUAUUUUCAUGGGUGUCUUCGGAACAACUGGUCCAAUGGCUUCUACUCCACUGGUUGAAUGUCUAUUCCUGGCCCACUAUCACACUGCAUUAAUUCCUCAUGCAGAAGCUCCCGGGCCAGGGAUUGAAUCCAAGCCACAGUUAUGACCUAUGCUGCAGCUGCAGCAAUGCCAGAUCGUUAAUCCACUGCCCUGGGCCGGGACGAAACCCACCUUCCCACAGCGACCUGAACCUGCUGCAGGUGGACCCUUAACCAGGAAUAACUGCCCCAUGCAGAUUCCUGAAGACUACAUCACGAAGACUGUCGGAGGCAGAGACAAUAAGGGCUGCAGCCUGUAGCCCGUCUGGUCCCCUAGUCUGCUGGUGUCUCCCGGCCCUCAUAGGAAGCCAUCCCAGCGCCCUGUCAGCUAAUCCAGAAGGGGAGGAUUUUGAUUUCCUCGAAGCUGACUCAGUUCAUCCUCUUCUCCAUGCCUGGUGCCCUGGCUGGCACAUGGUAGGUGCCCAAAAAUGCUUGACGAGUCCAAGGCGGUAUAUGACGAUUGCCACAAGAGCAUUGCCAUCGAGACACUGGGGACAUUCACCUUCAUCUCCUGCCACGGGCAUCUGGAGAGGUCCAGAAACACCCACUGCGGAUUUGCAGCAUUAAGGAAAGCUUUGUGGAAAGCAGGGCACUGAAAGAGCUUCUCGAGCAGGGGACUCAAUCUCUCCGAGUCUCAGCUUCCUUAAUCCGCCCUUUUAACCUCUCUCCUGCUUGCGGAAUUCAGGAAACACGCAUCCCUUUUCUGAGUACAUGCCUCCUCAAAUUCACGGAAAUAAUCCAGGCAUCGAUUGUGAGGAGGUAGCGCACCCCCAGGGCACAUGAGCGUCACGGCGCUGACCACAGAGACACACAUCACGCAUCCUAAGAUGACUUCCUGGCGCUGUCUGGGUGGUAGCACUGGAGGGAACCAUUGCCUUUUAGAGGAAAGUUACAGUAAAUGUCCCCAUAUGAAUGAUCACGGGAGGGACGUGCGUAAGCCUGGUGUUACUUGGCAGGACUAUGCUGCCUGACUCCUACACCAGACCCGCCCCCUCACUUGUUCCUUCGCUUGAACAUUUAGGAGGAAGGGGCAGCGUUCCCUUGGGCUCGCAUUGUGGCCAAAGCGAGCCCCAUCACGCCCAGCAAAUAUUUCAACAGUCACAGAGCAGCGGGAGAGACCAGCGUAAAGGCAGCCUGCUCCGGACCUCGGCGCCUUCCAGCAGCUUGACCCUGGAAUCGACAGCACUGCCCUGUUGGAAAUCCAUCUGCUAAUUUCAUGGACCUGGAUUCUGGCGCGGCGGGUGGUCAGUUGAGCUCGAAGCGAGCAGAGAGGACCAGAGGUUCUAAAGGGAACCAUGCGUCAGCGCGCGGCCCCACGUGCGCAGACAUGAAACCCCUCCGACAGCACCCGAGAGGCGUAUUUUUCAGCGCAGAAGCCGCAGAAAGCAGGACCCGGCUCCCACCCCUUCUUUAUAUUCCAAUGAGAUUUGCUAGUUUAACCAGGGCUGCCGUACAGAAGCUCUUGUGGUUCAUGUUAUAUUAAUAGUGUGGCCUGAUUAUCAAAAGCCAUUACUCUUGGUUAUCUUGCCGCGGCUGGACGAGCUGCUAUAAGUCAGAGUGACUGCCCACCCAGCGUUUGCUCCCUGCUUAUGAUAACAGGAUUCUUAAUGCAAAAGUGCAUUUGUAAAAUUAUUGCCUUUUGCAGAUCAGAUUGGUUAUAAAUGAGAUGCGAUCACACAACUGUUUUUCCCUGUAUAAAAAAAUUAAAUCCAUAAAUUACACGUCGGUUCCCUCCAUGGUCCCGGCUUCAUGAGGGUCAGUUUCCUUGUGGUCAAACUCGGAGGUAUGGCUUUCAAAGCAGAUGGGUUGUGAGCUGAGUCCUGGCCGGGGGCACAGACUUUUCUUCCGGCCUGUCUUCUCCUGUUCUUUGAUGUAGUCUUCUGCAGGCCUGAUUGCGGCCUUGUGGAUCCGGCUCCCCCCCACCCCCGCUUUUUUCUUCCCCUGCUGGUGGAGGGGUGCUUUGUUUAGGUUAGUUCUGUUUCUUGAACGCAGUCAUGAUAACGGAUCGGAUGCCGUGCCGCUUCCGCAUGGAUGCAAACCCCCGUCUCCGGCUCUUUGCCGAACUCGCAUGGCUUGGAGGGGCGGCCUUCACAGCUCCUCGGGGUUCUUGCCACUGGCCGACUUUUUAAUUCUACCCUCCCUUGCUCUGACACCUUCACAGGCUCAGGCUUUGGAUGGAAGAAAAGGCAAGGGGAGAGCCACUCCAAUGAAGUAUAAGGACUCAGUUACAGUGCUGGCUCAUCUCCUUCUCCGUAGGUUUCCCCAUUCACGUUCCUCCAACCGGGAGCAAGAGACAGGGCUCCCCUCGGGGCGACGUGAGGGCGUCUCUCACUGCGCAUCUUUCCAAGCUCCCAAGUUCCUCUAUCAACAAACAUAUCAAGGGGUGAAGCGACAGGACUCUCUCUCCUCCUAUGCGCUUCCCAUCUGAACAGCGUUUUCGCAUUCUUGAUUGUUAUAGACAGUGAAGCUUUUCAGCCCUAAUUCAUUAAAAACAUAGAUUCAUGACAAGUUGUUUGAAAUGUGGUCCCUUAAGCUUUUUCCGUCUUUUAGAAACUGUUUCAUAUCACUAUCUAAGAAGAAAAGCCAGCCAAGAUUUACAUUUUAAUUUAGUUAACCAAAUAGUUCAGCCUAUGUUCUCCAAAGACAAAGACUGGCCUGUACGUGGGCGGAUUUUCCUGUAUUUUAUUGCUGUAAUUUGCAUGAGAAACACCAGAUCCUGUAUAAUUGUUGCUUUGUUGUUGUGAUCCGAGUAGCUGUUUCCAAUGUCAAUAAUUAUAACUUGAAAUGAAAUUUAGUAGCAGUGAGGGGGUGGAGAGUGGAGGCGACUGCCAGCCAGUCAGGCUUUCACAUCAAACUAACCACAGUCUAGCCUCCUAAUGCGAUGCGAGCAGCCACCAGGCUGCCAGCAAACCUCCACACAAAG